rnacentral:sRNA from 1 species
AUUAGUGCUAGUGAAAGGUGCUGUUAUCUGAUCACAGAACAGGUACAGGCUGAGUGCAGAAUUCCCCACACUGCCCUGCCAAUGUCUUAGCCCUGAGGCUCAGAGACCACACUCAGAACAAGAAUGCUUCAACUUUUAUUCACGCUGAGCCCCUACCCUCU